rnacentral:rRNA from 1 species
UACGUAGGGGGCAAGCGUUGUCCGGAAUCAUUGGGCGUAAAGAGCGUGUAGGCGGCUCGGUAAGUCCGCUGUGAAAGUCCAGGGCUCAACCCUGGAAUGCCGGUGGAAACUGUCGAGCUAGAGUCCGGAAGAGGCGAGUGGAAUUCCUGGUGUAGCGGUGAAAUGCGCAGAUAUCAGGAGGAACACCAAUGGCGAAGGCAGCUCGCUGGGACGGUACUGACGCUGAGACGCGAAAGCGUGGGGAGCAAAUAGG